rnacentral:tRNA from 1 species
UCCCUGGUGGUUUAGCGGUAAAGAAUCUGCCUGCCAGUGCAGCAGACACAGGUUCAAAACCUGAUCUGGGAA